UGGCCCAUAGAGUUUCUAACUUCACCAUCCCUACCUCCCUCUCCUCUUAGAUUCAGUCACAUUUUGGACUCCACAUUCAAUCUCAGCUCUCAGGAUGAGAUGAUUGGGGGCCUGAGGCCAGCAGCUAGCAGUGGGGUAUUGAGGUGGUCUCAGGGACCACUCUGCUGUGACAUCAGUGUCCCACACCCCAUGGAACUGGUCUCCACAUUCCUCAGUAACUAAGCCUUCCAUAGGAACUUUUCUCCCCUGGGGACCAGACUGCUGGGCCCUGAGUGCUGCAGGUGCCACCAGCUAACAUCUGUGUGUACUGUCAGUCCCCAUCCUGGAGCUAACCCUGCUCCAUCUCUGUUGCCACCUCAGUGCACCCUCCUGGCUGUAACCUCAGCUACACCAAGUUUAGGGAAGUGACCAUCCAGCUCCCAGGCAGAUGACAGUGCCGGGCUGGAAAUGCCAUGAGCCACUGCACAGGAGGAGGAGACACAUACAUUUCACAGCGUUCUUCCUCCGACUGCGUGAAGUCAGACUGAAGAGGACCCGAUAUCGCGGAGGGCUAGGAGGUGGUGUCAACGUUCACGCGGAUCAGGGUCCACACACUUUGAAGCCUGUGGGUCCCAUCCAACUUGAACACUUUGCCUGA
rnacentral:lncRNA from 1 species